rnacentral:rRNA from 1 species
CCUACGGGUGGCAGCAGUGAGGAAUAUUGGUCAAUGGGCGUAAGCCUGAACCAGCCAAGUCGCGUGAGGGAUGAAGGUUCUAUGGAUCGUAAACCUCUUUUAUAAGGGAAUAAAGUGCGGGACGUGUCCUGUUUGGUAUGUACCUUAUGAAUAAGGAUCGGCUAACUCCGUGCCAGCAGCCGCGGUUAUACGGAGGAUCAGAGCGUUAUCCGGAUUUAUUGGGGUUAAAGGGUGAGUAGGCGGCCAUUUAAGUCAGCGGGGAAAGUAUGUGGCUAAACCAUAGAAUUGCCGUUGAAACUGGGGGGCUUGAGUAUGUUUGAGGCAGGGGGAAUGCGUGGUGUAGCGGUGAAAGGCUUAGAGAUCACGCAGAACCCCGAGUGCGAAGGCAGCCUGCCAAGCCAUGACUGACGCUGAUGCACGAAAGCGUGGGGAUCAAACAGGAUUAGAUACCCCUGUAGUC